rnacentral:rRNA from 1 species
UAGGGAAUCUUCGGCAAUGGACGAAAGUCUGACCGAGCAACGCCGCGUGAGUGAAGAAGGUUUUCGGAUCGUAAAACUCUGUUGUUAGAGGAGAACAAGGACGUUAGUAACUGAACGUCCCCUGCCGGUAUCUAACCAGAAAGCCACGGCUAACUACGUGCCAGCAGCCGCGGUAAUACGUAGGUGGCAAGCGUUGUCCGGAUUUAUUGGGCGUAAAGCGAGCGCAGGCGGUUUCUUAAGUCUGAUGUGAAAGCCCCCGGCUCAACCGGGGAGGGUCAUUGGAAACUGGGAGACUUGAGUGCAGAAGAGGAGAGUGGAAUUCCAUGUGUAGCGGUGAAAUGCGUAGAUAUAUGGAGGAACACCAGUGGCGAAGGCGGCUCUCUGGUCUGUAACUGACGCUGAGGCUCGAAAGCGUGGGGAGCAAACAGG